GACUAACGCUGGCGGCGUGCCUAACACAUGCAAGUCGAACGAGUAGCAAUACGAGUGGCAGACGGGUGAGUAACGCGUAGGUAAUGUGCCCUCUUGCUGGGGAUACCGUUCCGAAAGGAGCGUUAAUACCGAAUGUGUCGAUUUUGGGGCAUCCCGAGAUCGAUAAACUUCCGGGGCGAGAGGUUCAGCCUGCGUUCUAUCAGCUUGUUGGUGGGGUAAUGGCCUACCAAGGCUACGACAGAUAGCCGGUCUGAGAGGAUGAUCGGCCACACUGGGA
rnacentral:rRNA from 1 species